AAGAGUUUAGUUUAUUAAAAACAUUAAUUUGUCAAAUUAAAAAAAUUAAUUUUAAUAAUUCUUU
rnacentral:tRNA from 2 species